rnacentral:rRNA from 1 species
GAUGAACGCUAGCUACAGGCUUAACACAUGCAAGUCGAGGGGAAACGACAGUAAAGCUUGCUUUAUUGGGCGUCGACCGGCGCACGGGUGCGUAACGCGUAUCCAACCUGCCCCCAACUCCGGAAUAGUCCCCCGAAAGGGGGGUUAACGCCGGAUGCUGCAAUUUUUCCGCAUGGUGGAAUUGCGAAAUGAAAAAGGUUGGGGCUGGGGAUGCGUCCCAUUAGGUAGUAGGCGGGGUAACGGCCCACCUAGCCGACGAUGGGUAGGGGUUCUGAGAGGAAGGUCCCCCACAUUGGAACUGAGACACGGUCCAAACUCCUACGGGAGGCAGCAGUGAGGAAUAUUGGUCAAUGGGCGAGAGCCUGAACCAGCCAAGUAGCGUGUGGGACGAAUGCCCUAUGGGUUGUAAACCACUUUUGCAGGAGGGUAAAAAUGCUUCACGUGUGGAGUAUUGCAAGUAUCCUGCGAAUAAGGACCGGCUAAUUCCGUG